UUUGAUUGUAAUCAUUAAGGUGAUCUAGGCUUAAAAGGGUUUCAUGCAUAGGGACUUUAUUAAGAAAAUUUUAAAAUCCCUAGCUUCCGCUGCGCAUUAUAACAUGCUAAAACCCUUCAGUGGUAUCAGAGCCAUCCUUAAUUGGUUCAAUCAAAUAAUUAUGUAUGAUGUAUGAUUAUUAAUUUAUUAUGAGAUAGUAAUGUCAUAUGCUUAGAAAAAUGUUGAAAUGUAUGAUUCAUAUAUGAUAUGUUAUGUAAUAAAAUAUCAUGAUAUGAAAUUUUCCAUAUGAAAAUAUGUUGAAGCAUGUUAAUUAAUUGCUUAUGAUUUAUACAUGCUAUGAGAUAGCCAUGAUGCAUAAUAGUUUAUUUUAGACAUGUUAAAUAUAUGUUACAAUUAAAGAAUGUGCUAGAGACUAGUAAGCCCUCAAUAAAAAUUAUAUUAAGUCAUAGUGUUGAAAAACUUUGGGCUAACCUAUAUUAGAACAAUUGAUCAAAUUGGUGUCUAAGGAAAGCACUAAAGGUGGUUCUCUAAUUAGG
rnacentral:lncRNA from 1 species